GGUCCAGUGCCCCCACUCUGUCUGGGGAGGCCGAGCAGCCCCCCCUCCACUAUCCCCGCCAAAGGCCAGCCCGCUUCUCGUGGUGACAGAGUCAUGCACCGACGACGUAGGGGGGAGGUCGGAGUGAGUCACCGCCACCGCUGUCGGCGGUCAGGUCCUGGAUGGCGCUGCGGUGGAGGCGCCAGCAACAGUGAGCACGCUUGUGCCAUCCGUGUGGUGGGUGGAGCUCCGGCGUGACUCUGGCGUGCCCCCCACCCGGCCCUCACACUGCCUUGCUGGUGGGGGAGCCUGGGCCACCGCGGGCGGGAUGCGGCGGGUGGGGACGGGCAUGGUGGUGGGGGGGGGCGGCUGUGGGGCGGCCUGCGGGGUCAGGGGCGAGUAGAUUGUGAGGCGCGGGGCCCUUGCCGUGAUGCGUGCCUGCUGCUGCUUUUCGCGAGGCGAUGGGGCCUGCGGGCAGGGCUGUGUCGAGCGUGGGCUGGGUCAUGCUCUGUGGCAGAGGGGACGCGUUGAAAGCAAAAAUUCACAUGCCACUCCUCUAUUCUCGUCUUUCUUCGUCACUGCAUGUGGCGCGUACCUGAAUCUCCCCCCUCCCCCCCUGCGUGGGAAG
rnacentral:misc_RNA from 1 species